rnacentral:rRNA from 1 species
UACGUAGGGGGCAAGCGUUGUCCGGAAUCAUUGGGCGUAAAGAGCGUGUAGGCGGCUCGGUAAGUCCGCUGUGAAAGUCCAGGGCUCAACCCUGGAAUGCCGGUGGAAACUGUCGAGCUAGAGUCCGGAAGAGGCGAGUGGAAUUCCUGGUGUAGCGGUGAAAUGCGCAGAUAUCAGGAGGAACACCAAUGGCGAAGGCAGCUCGCUGGGCAGUAACUGACGCUGAGGAGCGAAAGCGUGGGGAGCGAACAGG